rnacentral:rRNA from 1 species
AUUGAACGCUGGCGGCAGGCCUAACACAUGCAAGUCGAACGAGUGGCGGAGGGGUGAGUAAUGUCUGGGACACUGCCCGAUGGAGGGAGAUAACUACUGGAAACGGUAGCUAAUACCGCAUACCAUCGGAUGUGCCCAGAUGGUAUUAGAUAGUAGGUGGGGUAACGGCUCACCGAGGCGACGAGCCCUAGCUGGUCUGAGAGGAUGACCAGCAACACGGGACCUGAGACACGGUCCAGACUCCUACGGGAGGAAGCAGUGGGGAAUAUUGCACAAUGGGCGCAAGCCUGAUGCAGCCAUGCCGCGUGUAUGAAGAAGGCCUUCGGGUUGUAAAGUACUUUCAGCGAGGAGGCGUUACUCGCAGAAGAAGCACCGGCUAACUCCGUGCCAGCAGCCGCGGUAAUUC